UGGGGCGUAGCCAAGCGGUAAGGCAACGGGCUCUGAAUCCGUCAUUCGAUGGUUCAAAUCCAUCCGUCCCAGCCA
rnacentral:tRNA from 1 species